AUUGAACGCUGGCGGCAGGCCUAACACAUGCAAGUCGAACGAGUGGCGGACGGGUGAGUAAUGUCUGGGAAACUGCCUGAUGGAGGGGGAUAACUACUGGAAACGGUAGCUAAUACCGCAUACCAUCAGAUGUGACCAGAUGGGAUUAGCGUGUGGGUUGGGUAACGGCUCACCAAGGCGACGCUCCCUAGCUGGUCUGAGGGGGUGACCAGCCACACUGCAACUGAUACACGGUCCAGACUCCUACGGAAGGUAGCAGUUGGGAAUAUUGGCCAAUUGGCGAAGGCCGGAUACAUCCAUGGCGGGUGUAUGAAGAGGGCGUUCGGGUUUUAAAGUACUUUCGGCGGGGUGGCGUUGCCCUCAGGAGAAGCACCGGCUAACUCCGUGCCAGCCGCCGCGGUAAUUC
rnacentral:rRNA from 1 species